GAUGAACGCUGGCGGCGUGCCUAAUACAUGCAAGUCGAGCGAACGGACGAGAAGCUUGCUUCUCUGAUGUUAGCGGCGGACGGGUGAGUAACACGUGGAUAACCUACCUAUAAGACUUGGAUAACUUCGGGAAACCGGAGCUAAUACCGGAUAAUAUUUUGAACCGCAUGGUUCAAAAGUGAAAGACGGUCUUGCUGUCACUUAUAGAUGGAUCCGCGCUGCAUUAGCUAGUUGGUAAGGUAGCGGCUUACCAAGGCAACGAUGCAUAGCCGACCUGAGAGGGUGAUCGGCCAAACUGGAACUGAGACACGGUCCAGACUCCUACGGGAGGCAGCAGUAGGGAAUCUUCCGCAAUGGGCGAAAGCCUGACGGAGCAACGCCGCGUGAGUGAUGAAGGUCUUCGGAUCGUAAAACUCUGUUAUUAGGGAAGAACAUAUGUGUAAGUAACUGUGCACAUCUUGACGGUACCUAAUCAGAAAGCCACGGCUAACUACGUG
rnacentral:rRNA from 1 species